rnacentral:sRNA from 1 species
GAAUUCUUAUUCUUUGAUCUUUGUCUUUCAUCAGGGACAUGUUAUUUAUGUCUCUGUGUUCAGAGAGUCCUUUUUGUAUUUUUUUAGAAAAAAAAAUAUAACAACCUUUUUCAUUUUUAUUAUACCAUUUUGUCAAAUGUACAUAUAUAAUAGAAAAAUCUUGUCAGAUUUUAAUACUACAGAGUAUAUACAUUAUUUGUAGCUUUAGAUUCAGAAUAUUUGCUUUAAAUUUCAAGGACCUUUGUCUUCAUUUCAUUGUAUAUAAUUACCUUACAACACAUUCAUGAAAUUGACACAGUGAAAUACUUAUAUUAAAGAGAGCUUGUAGCAUUAGUGAUAAAAGUCCUAAAGAAUGGAUUCAUGCAUUGGUACUUUGAUAAUAUAAUGUGACCCCGUAUCUACUUAUAACCAAUCCUUGCGUUUUUUGAUACUAUGCUGGGAUUUCACAGUUUUGUCUCAUAUAAUUAGAAUUUGAUUUUAUUUUUGUAAUAAUGAAAAUCAAGUUUAAGUGUUUCCGUGUAGUAGUUUAGAACAUAUUCAUGUAAGAAAGUUCAAUUCAGCUAUAAGUUUUCCUUGUACAGAAGAUUUAGGGACAUCCAAUUUCUAAUAUUUAUAACCAGUAUUAGAAUUGAUGAGUAUGUACCGUUAUUUAGAACUUUGGGAUAUGACAUGUAAAUUACAGUACAUGUACACAAUUUAAAGAUGCAUUCUUCACUUUUAAGGUAAAAGUGACAAGUAAUUGCUGUGGCUUUGUCAUGUGAAUUUUUAGAUAAGCUGAUUUUUACUGUCAGUAUUUAAGGACUGGGCACUGUUGCUUAGUUGAGUGUUGUAUUUCAUGUAUUUCAUCAGCUUUUUUGAAAUGAUACCACUAAGUUUUAACAUGAAAAUUAAAAUGACUGGUCUGUUAAUGUUUACAGCGAUCGUCUUCAUUUCCUGCUCGAUGCACCAGUUGUGAUAUCAGACUUUAUAUUCACUUUAUGAGUGUGUGCAUGUUGAGGAAUAAAUGUAAAUAAAAGUUUUAAAAAU